AAUCGGUGCUCUAGUGGGUGGGGCAGACCCUGGGCUAGCAGGCCCCAGGGAGAACUCCAAUGGCGUCUGUGUCAGCACACCCACACCAGGCCACAACAAUGGCCACCGCCAAUGUCCCAGUCCCUGGAGAGGUCUCACUUCUCACUGAGAUGCACUCAGGGUCUAUCAGAGCCCUAACUAAUACAGUAAUAUUGGCCAAGUGACCCUGAGUUUUAAUUUCUUCAACUGAAGUUUAGGAGAUGGAAUAAGAUUGGUGAUUCUUAAAUUAUAAUCUGUGGAUCAAUGUUCAUUUUGGUAAAGUUCUGCCCAGUCUGUGAUAAAAAGAGAAAACAAGUUGAUACUGUGCUUCUCCUGCACCCUCUGGAUGACCCCUGCAAACUACAUUUCCCGAGCUCCUUUGCCAUCUGGCUUCAGUCUGGGUUUGGCUGAUGGGAGGCCUGGCCUGAGACUGGAGGGUAGAAGGAGAGGAAAGCCAAGGUCUUGAGCCACACUUCCAUUACAAUUGUGCUCCAACGUAUGACACACUGCUCUAGCGACCCACACAGGUCAAAGUUCAGAAGAUGUUCAGCAACUACCAUUGAUUAUCCAGAAUUUUCUUAAUGAUCUUUACUGUUUAUGAAGUCAAUUUUUUCCCCUACCAAUUAAAGGACUCUAAAUUAUUGGAUGUAAAGCAGCUGUAUGACAGUAUUGAAUCAACAAUAACAUGACUAUUAGUGCCCUUAUCACUGACUUAAUUGUCAACAAUUGAUGAAAUUGUCCACUUUUGUCAGUGAAUUAGUCAAAAUACCUGAAAUCAAUGUGCCAACGUGUUUGCUUUUCUUGUAUCAUUCUAGACUGGGUCCAAAUGAAUUUACUGCGUGUGUGUGUAUCUCUGCUUUAAAAGGUAACUUAGGAAUAAAUUUUAUUUUAUUAUAGUAAAAACAAACUUUUUGUAGUAAGUAGUCUUUCUGGCUGAAUUUCAGUGACAGCUGAAUUGAGGUAUUUUGUAGUUAAAUUUGAUUCCCUUUAAAUUGUAGUGCGUGAGAAGGAAAAUUAACUUUUAUACUUACCUGAACUGGAAAUCGUUUUAGAGGAGGAUAAAAGUAGGCAUGCUUGUAAAGAGAAUAUCGUGGUCUAUACUUAAAGACCUGCACAAAGAAAAUAAAUGAUAUAUUCACGUUUAAUGCGCAGUAAAUCUAGAGUAAGUAUAGUCAGGCCAAGGAAGUAUGCUAAAAUUAAUUACCCCAUUUUGUUCAGAAUCCUCUAAUUUGGUUCUCCGAUGCAAAUUUUUCAUCUGUUUAAAAGAACAUUUAGUUAUUGUAUAUUCUUUCUUUUACAUAAAAAGACAGAAAUGGAAAUAACUACAGCUUUUUAAUAAAGAACUUACUGAGAGAGCACAGGCCAUUCCCAAAAUGCUGAGCAAAAUGAAAGCAGUCUUCAUUUUGGUGAUUGCUUCUGGAAUUAAUGAAGUGGUAAAGUUAAUAAAUAUUAAAACUGAGUGUAAUUUUUUUCCUUAUACUAGAGAUUAAGUAUUUGAUUUGCUUUUAUCUAUGUCCAGUUAUAGUUUUGACUAAUUAAGACCAAAUUUCUACUUUUGUUUUAAAUUUCUUCCUUCUAUUUAAAUGCUAGAAGACUGAU